AUGGGAGUGGAGGUAAUGAUGGUGCUCAGGGGGCAGAUCCCGCAGGUUCACCUUCUCUCUUCGUGGAGCUCGAGCGCAACAGGGCCGGCGACAGCUACCUUCUGUCCUCCUCCCCAUCUUGCUUGGGAUCCCAUGCUAGGAAGGUCAAUGGCCGGUCGCCGGUCUCCUUCCCCUCCUGCAGGUCACCGCCGCAGCCCAUGCCUCCUGCGAUGGUCGGGGGCGGCGCUGGUCCUGGCGCCGCUGCCUCAGGUCAUGGUCGCUCUGCCGGGGCAGCCGUUUGGAGGCUUGGGGCAGAAUUUCUCUUGCAGUCCACACAGAGGACGCACGCGGGGCAAUCGCUGA
rnacentral:rRNA from 1 species